CAGUCGUUCACCUGGAGCCGCCGCGCGGUUCACAGGAAUGAUUCCCAUUUUAUUGAUGAACGGCAGGAUGUUCCCUGUGCAGGAAGCAGAAACACAAAGAAAACAUUUGGACCCAUUUAGAAGAUCAUCGGCGUAAAGACGAAUCGGUUCUGAGGGCGAGCGGCGCUGCCAUCCAUUAUGGUGAUGAAGGCGAUGGUGAGGAUGAAGGCUCCGACAGGAGCUGCUUACCUGGGAGAGCAGCAGGCGGCCAUGUUGGGGAAGAUUCAGCAGCUCAACGCCUCGUUUCCACUCGUCAGCAGAACCGACAUGGAGGAGAGAAGGAGUCCUGAGGGAACCGGAGCAGGAAUCGGGUCAGAGUUCAUUUGUGAGAAAAACCUGCCAUGGUCAGAGGAGACAGCGAGGAGGCGUUCCCACGGCGACGCAGGAAAACGUUUCCACCCAAACCUCUGAAAUGUUGUGAUUAGUGUCAGACAUUUCUGAGCUACAGACGAGGGAAACGUCCAGAGAGACAAACUCAGGUGUUUUCAGGUUUCCUGUUCUUCGGGACCAAUCGUCUCCUCAAAGAACUGGAUCUGCUGUGAAUCAGGUGGCUCUACCCCGUGACCUCUGACCUCUGCCUGCAGUAGCAGUGAGAACGGACGGUUUCUGCUGCGUUCACAGAUGAGGAAGAUGAGGAAGAUGAGGCGCUAAUUAGAUCAGGCCGUUUUUACCUCAAAGCCUCCAGAAUGCAGUGAUUGAAUUAUUGCAGCUUCAGUCUGGACGAGACGAGAAGGCGGCUAAAUUUGGUUUCCUCUGAUUGGACUGAGUGGCCUCCUAUUACAGGACGAGGCCCGUCUGACCCCGACGUGUUUCCAUCCGACACCAGCAGCAUGAAUGACGGCCUUGUCUGCUCGACGCGUUCUCACAGGAAACGCUGCGCCGCCGUAACCUCGUUAGCACCUGGUGCUUCCUGUCCGCCGCCAGACCAGGCUGAUGGGGCUUCGCCGACCUUCGCUAACCUUCACUGGUGAUUCCAGGAGAUUCCAGGUGAUUCCAGACUCCUACGGGCUUCCGUAGUCUGCAGCGGCGGGCUGAGUGAUGUCUCCCCGGCUGGUAAUGAGUCUGCGGCGGGUUGGGCUCCGGAGUCAACAGCCGCGUUAACCCGCCGAUGAAACGCCGCGGAUCCGGAGAGAGACGCUCUGCUGCGGCCGUAACGAGCCGCGGCCUCCAUCGCUCACUCCUUAAUUAGCAGCGGGAUCCUCUACCCGCUAAUGGAGCCAACAUGGCGGAACAUCACGGCCCAGUUGGAGCGCUGCCGGGACGGAGCAGCUUCAUCAGCUGACGAGCGCAGCGGCAGGGGUCAAAGGUCAGCGUUAUGGCGUCUGAAGGCUCGGGGUGCCGUGACGGGGCGUGGCCAGGUGUCAUCUGGGUUUGAUGUGUGACGUGAGGCCGCACACUACAAGGUCAGAGGUCAAGGUGGAUGAAGAGGCAGAAUCAUCCUCAUCAGGUCAGGAGUGUGUGUGUGUGUGUGUGUGUGUGUGUGUGUGUGUGUGUUAGAGCUGGAGGAAAACUGGUGGUUGAGUGAUGAUCUGAAAUAAACAGUAAUACAUUAGAUUAUUCUAUUUAUUAUAUUUAUCUGUACCAUUUUUAUCAUCUACAGUGUAAAUAAGGAUUUCUGUAUUUAUUUCUCAGUUAUGAACCAUAAAAACUCACUAAAUGACAGCAUUCAUUUUAGUUUCUGUUUAUACGGAAGAGGAUUAGUGCCAAAAUGAGAAUUUAGAUUUUUAAUGUCAGACUUUUUUCCUAAUCUUCUUCCAUGUUUCAUAUAAUCUUAAUGUUAUUAGUUGUGUUUACUGUUUUUAUUUAGAAAGUUUAGGACAAACAGUUGGUAACGUCUAGUUUGAACAGACGACGUCAUGACUCUGCCACCACCGUGCUUCACGGCCGUUAGCUCCGUUAGCUCCGUUAGCUCAGUUAGCAGAGUGGUGCUGGUCCGUGUUGUGAUCCCAGGUCUGGAGUCAGAAUCUCUCCCAGCAUCCAGCCUGAUGCUCAGUGAUUUCCCGGCUGAAAGCAGCCGAGCGUGUUUUCACCACAACGAGCCUUCAGGCGGCGGCACAGACGCCGUCAGAGUCUGAACCAAUUACAGGACAAUUAGCCAGCUGGCUGUUAUGAAACACAGCAAUUAAUGUUUCCUUAAUAAGUCAGAUUCACAGCGAUUCCACAUCAUCGGCUAAUCACCGGGUAAUUACCGCCGCGGCGUCUCAGCGCCGGUUUGAUCCGACAAAUCUGGGUCUCAACAAACUCCUGGGCAUCAACAUCUGGAGCUGACGGCGCCACCAUCAGGCCGGCUGACUUAACGCUGCUGUCGGCAGCAGUUACUGUAAAACUGAAAAAGUUUUCCUCUCAGCAUUGAAAUUCAGAUGAAUUAAUCCUCCUGCAGGGAAAUUAAUCUGAUUUAAACAGAUUAUGAUGCAGAAACCAACAAACUGCUGCUGGGCUUGAAUAAAAUAUACAGAAAAUUAAAUAUUAAACCUAGACUAACGGAGGAAGUGAAUAUUUCAAAAGAAAAUCUAAAAUGGUUGUUUUUUUCUCAAUGAAAUGUUAUAAAAUGUAACACCUAAUGCAACAUAAAAUAAUAAAUACUCCAUAAGAAAAAUCAACAUAUUUAUAACAUUUCUGUGGAAAUUUUCUCAAUAAAUCCUUCACAGCAGAAAAUAUAAAAAUGCAGAUGAGCAGCCAGAAGAUGAAUGUGGAAAAGUACGGUGGCCUGGAGGCACAAGCAUGUAGGAGAGACAGAAAAGAUCCAGAUAUAAAGAAACACAAGAAAACAAAGUGCAGAAAAUGGAAGUUAAAAGUUAAUCCUCUUCUGUCCUCCAGGCCACCAGGGGGAGCCGAGCAACGACUCAAACCUCACAGGAGACGGGAUUUAAUAGGAAGUUCUGUUUCAAACCCGAAUCUCUAACAAUGUCACAGAGCAGCAGCGUGAAAACGUAGAUACUUCCUGCUCCAGACUCCCCCUGGUGGCCUGGAGGACUUCUGCUUUAGUGCAGAUUCUCUGCAGCGUUUAAAAACAAUCUGACGUCCGUGUCAAACUCGAGGUCUGGGGGCCAAAUCUGGCCCACCCCAAGUCUUUCUGUGGCCGUCUGGACCAAAUUAAUAAAACCUUUAUCAUAACAGUUAUCAAAUUAAUACAGUUUUUAUUUUAUAUAAAAAUAUUUGUUAUAGUAUUUAAUUUAAAUAAAUUUUCACUGGAUGCAAAGGAAGGUAUUUAUUCAUUUUUUAUUAAUUGUUAGUUUUAUCAAAACGUUCUGGAACAGAGAAACCUGUUGCUGCUUUCUGGUUGGCUGUACAGGAGGCUCCACUUCUGCUUUUCAAAGGUGUUUGGCCUGUGCUUCUGUUUGCAGCCAUUUUGUGUAAAUGUAGCAUUUAAAGUGACAGAGCUCCUAAAACGGGUCAGAACUGAAAUCUGAUCGCCUCAGGAUGGUUUAGUGAUGAAAUGUGAUCAAGGUUUUGUUUAGGCCACAGUCCGGUCCUGUCCGGUCCAGUUUAAGGAAGCAGAACGGGUCGGCGGCGUUACAGGAAGUAGACGUUUCCAUGCGGCUGCCGCAGCGUUCAGUGAGGUCAGCAGCAGCAGCGUCUCGGCUCAGUUUGAGCAGAAACAGGAAUUAUCCACAGAACCGAACAGAACCUGGGUCAUCAUCUGGAGCCGCCGGGCCGUCGGCCCCACUGGGACCACGACUGGAGCCAACGCAGCGUGGCGCCGUCUUGAUGCUGGCGGCCAUCUUUGCUCGUCUCAGGAAGCGGCGUUCACACUGUGGAUAAUCGGAUUAAGGUGGCGCCGUUUGUUCCGCUCCGUGAGCCCAGCUGGACCGAGACGCCGAGAGACAGAACAUCAGAGAUCGUCACAUCUGGUCUAAUCAAAGUCCUGAUCCGGGUCAUGUGACCUCCUGAGGCUCCGCCCACUGACAGGCAGAUCCUCAGGGACUUCAGUCAGGAAAUGGGUCAACGGCUCAGUGAGGUGGAAACACACACACACACACACACGCACACACACACCCACACACACACACACACACACC